rnacentral:lncRNA from 1 species
GGUAGACAGAGCUAUCUUAUUCUCUGACAAUGCACAGCCUCAGUAUUCUUAUAGUGCCGCAACCUCCAGUCCCUUAAUCCAUAUUUUACCUGAUGUUUCAUGAAAACAAAACCAUAGUCAAUAUUUAAUUGUAAUUAUGUGGAAUACUUUUGUGCCUGAGAGAGACAGACAGACAAAGAGACAGAAAGGGAGAGAAAAAAACCUUCAUAUUUUGCAGGCAAUAUUGUAUACCUCGUACCUGAAAUGCCAGGUAGCAGUUAGCAGUUUUGAUGCCCUCCUUCCUUUUAAGAAUGUUCUAACAUGAACACAGUAAUGAUAAAGUAUCCACGUGACAGCAUUUUCCAGUUGUUAUGGUUUCCUUGGAUACAGCCCCUAGUGAGGUGCGUAAGGUAAAUAUUAGCCUUUCUGUUUUACAAAUGAACGCAAUAUUUCUUUUUAAAUGUCACUUAUGCAGCAAAUUUCUGUGCCCUCUUGCAGCCUCUGGGAGGCUCCUGGAGGAAAGACAGAGCAGAGAAUAUAAACAGAUUACUCUGCCCAAGGUCGGGUUUGUUUCCCUGACUCCGUUCUUAUCCCUGAGUCAACAGCAGAAAUUAAAUUGUUUUAAAAUUCGUUGUCAGGGUCUCUCCCCACCCAUGUUCAGUUACCAAUGUAGCCUGAAUGUUGGGGGAUUAAAUUCCAAUUUUUAUAAUUAAAGUGGUAUGUGCAUUUAUCCUCUUAUUUAUAGAGAUUAACUUCGUGUCAUUUAUUGAAGUCUGUGCAAAGUUACAGUUUAAAAAUCAAUCCACUGUUGAGAAAUGUCUUUCUUUAUUUGAAGAGUUGAGAUAACAGCCCUCAGAAGCUGUCUCUUGAAUUAGGUCUGGUUCUACCCCCUAGUCUUAGAGAAUGAAACAAUUUUUGUGGGCUCUGACCAACCGUUUCAGUUGAUUUCAUCAUGCCUGCUGAGUUUCAUUUUUCCUUUGAUUCAUCUGAACUCAUAGACCCAUAUAAUCAAAAUGCCAAGAAAAUCAGUGAGUUCCAGAUCUGCUGCAUUUUCCCAUAUAGCGCUGUAAAAUGCUUAUGCUCUUAUACUUUGGGGGUUUUUUUUCAAACACGUUAAAAUGGAAACCUCAAAUCUAAAUAAAGCUGAAGGUGUGACUGGGGCUGGAUAGUUAGCUAAGAUAAAAAGUGUGGUAUAACUACAAAUUCCCCCUUAAACUGUGCAUCAUCACCUAGGAAGAAACAAAAGAGCUAUUUAGAGGAUCAAGAUGACUGAUUGAGGAGAAAUUGUUUUCAAAUUUAAAUAUAUCAUUAUUCUUGGAGGAGACUGCUAAACCUCUAUGAAAUUGAGUUCAAAAACAAACUAUUUUGGGUUUUGGAGGUAGAAAUCUUUUUUGUACUAUAUAUAGUGACUAUAAUUAAUUGUAGAAAUACAGUAUUUGUGAGAUAAUUGGUUUAUUCUCAGCAGUAUGAGGUAAAGAUUUCCCAUAUCUCCUCUAGGGAUGCAGGGACUUUAAACAAUUAAUUAGGAGCAAGUUUGCUACAAAGGCAAGUGUUUUCAAUACACUUGGGUGGAAACAAUCAGGAAAAUGUGUUACUCAAGGACUUCUGAGUCUGUGCCAGAAAUCCACUCAGGCUGUCAGCACAGCCAGCGGAGCACUGGAGUUACACUGGAUGUUCAAGAUGUAAAUUCAUUUUCUUAGAGCAACAGGCGUGACUCCAGGAGGCCAAGAAGAAAAUGUAAGGCAGACAACGUCCAAUUCAGGAACAGUCGGAGUGCAGAGACAAAGCCAAGGGUGAAAGAAAUAAAGAUGAUGAUGGCGUUUUGGCCAAAUGACAGGGGACAUUUGUUCUUUGGCAAUGUAAUCAUCUGUGCCAGAGACAUAUAAAGGCCACCCUCUCUUGACUAUUAGACUUUUACAAACCAGGGCCAUUCACCAGCCAUUCCCAUACCAAGAAAGACAAGGCAAAGGCUGUGUCCACGUAUUGUUUCUCCAAGGAGAGGACACUUCCACUUGGGAUUCAAAUGAGUGUCAUUCUCCAUGCGAUAUACCCAGAGGCACACACUGGCCACAUCCUCUCUCUGCCAGCAUCUAUGUGAGUCACAGUGCAGCCACAGAGGACUGGACAAGGAGGAGGGCAGCUGCUCAUCUGGGCUCAAGAAACAGUUUUGAUUGUGCAGAGGAAGCAGACCCUUAGGCUCCAGAGAAGAGCAGACAUUUACUGAUUCCCCCCUCCCCUCCCCCCCCCCUUUUUUUUUUUUGCUGCUUCUGGCCUGGAAGAGAUAAGAAAGGGAAAGGGCCAGUGUGCAGAUUGUCAAGCAAGCAUUUUAUAUUUGUUUUCUCUCUUGGUUCUCCCAACAUCCUGGAUGCAGUGAUAUCUUGGUAUUUUGCACCAAUGAGAAAACAGAAUCAGACUUAUUAGACUAAGAGCUGGGGCCAGAUGAUCUGUGAAGCUCCAAAGCAAAUUUGGGAAUGGAUAGAAUCAGAUCGUUCUUGGUAAUUAUUUCCUCAGAAGAUACUCCAAAUUCUCUUCCUUUCCUCAUUUCUUCCCAUGAAAUGUAGCUAUAUAUUCUUGCCUCAAGUACAGCUAAAAGCAAGAACUAAAAGAGAACUGAAAGCUAAAAGAGAAUCACAACAUUCCAACAGUGGGCAGAGUCUUAGAGAACAAGUGGUGUAGACCUCUCAUGUCACAGAUGGGGAACUUGGUCUAGAGAGGUUAAGUGACCCAUCCAGGGUCUCCCAGCUGAUUUAUGGCAGAGCACGUGCAGAAAGAGCGUGACACGAGCCUUCAUCUUUGGUAGUUCCCUGUGGCCAGGAUGAAUGCUGAGAUCCAAAGAGGGAGCUUUGACCUGCAACUCUGACCCUGGGCCCCUGUCUGUCAGCAGCUGAGCAGAGCAGGUUUGUGAUGCCAAGCUCUUCAUCUCACCCACUGUGAGGUCAACUGUCUGGAAACCCUGAUAGAAAACUCACCACCAUAGGGAUGAAGGGUCAGUGACAGAAAGUUGGUGACUUCUGCUUUUUUGGGGUUUUGUUUUCACUUCUGGUUCUAGGCUUUUUUUUUUUUUUUUGAUAGUAGCCAAUGGGGGAAAGAGGGGGAGACAUCUGGAGUUAUGUUUAGAAACCAUUAACUUUUUUUUUUUUAAAUGCCCCAACCUCUGCUGCUAUUGCCAUGGGCUAUUACCAACUGAGAAGCAUGACAGGCUCUAAGAACAAGCAGAAACAGUGAAAUUUUCAGGAUCAAAACCUAGGCUGAUUCCCAUAGAGCACUCUGUGCACAUCUGAGAGUAGUUUCAAUGACAAAGGUGGCAAAGGCAGCAAGAAGGAAGCCUCCCUUUGGUCUUCCAGACUCGAGUGACUUCAAACAGUAAGAAAUGGGCAGCUCCCCGGGAAGAAUCAGCGCUAGUAUGAUUUGGCCACUCAACUUUAGCUGCAAACUCACAGUAGAAAUGGUACAUAAAAAUAGUUACAUUUGGGUUGGGGGGUGGUGUAUUCCUCUUUUACAACAGAUAUGGUAUUUGUGUGCAUGUGGCUGGCUUUCCUACCUGUCCUUUCAAAUACUGCUUGUAUCCAGAAGAAUCAACACACCACACAGAGGAGAUCUGUCUGGCUGAGUGAGUCUUGCUUCCCUGAGUGCACACCUUCCCCUAAGCUUGUAACAGGAUCCCAGGUACAGGAGGGACUUUGUUCUGUCAAUUGAAUUUGCACAGUUGAGUUCCUCUGCUGAGCUUUCCAAGCAAUCCCUCUAAACUUUUUGCAGAAGAGGGUUAGGCAUGUUCCGCUGGUUCAGAAAACUCCUGGUGUGGGAACACGGUGGGAUCCAAGAAAAAUAAUAGGUGAGACAGUUUCUAACCUGCCCAGGAUCUGCUGCUAGGAUCUAAUUCAAAUGAAAAAAAUGAGACAUGGCUCCCAUCCUGGAUUUAUGUUUUACCAAGGGUAAAAAUUCUGACAAAGUGGAAUUCUUGGAUUCUUAGUGGAAAUUUGGAGACACACACAUCUGGCUUCAAAUCCUAAAUCCUUCCCUCAUCAGCCAUGUGCCUUUGGGCAAGUUCCUUAGCCUCUCUGGGCAUCUACUUCCUGGCCACAACUUUCUCUCAGCUGCAAAUUGGAAUAAUCCUAACUGCAUCGCGGAGGUGGUUCUUUCAGAGUUUAAUCCUUGCCCAUGGUCUGUGCUCUCAGAGUAUUAUUAUCAUGAUUAUUAUUACAAUUAUUCAUUGUGGAAAAGAGUGACAGGCUUAUAUCAGAAAAGCUUUGCUAUCUCCCUGUCCUAUACUCCACUGCUUUUACCCUUGGCUCUGUAUCUAUUCUUGGAGGAAACCUGAGAGUUUCAUAGCUGAGAGUGUGGUAUCCUUUCUGAUUUGGAGGCAGUAGCCACCACCCCUGCUUGGAGCUCAGCUGCAUUAGCUGGCUCCCAGGGUGGUGUCCAUCCAUGCAAACAACCCCCAUUUCCUUUUGUCUCAUCUUCCCUACUGACAACAAAUGGAAAACAUCUCCUUUGCUUGCUGCCAUCCUUGGAAACUAUCCUUAGAGAAUACGGAGGACCCUAGCAAAACACACAAAGAGCCCAAUAAUUUACACAGUGUUCACCAGUCUUGAUGAAAACCACAGAAGAAGCCUUUCAUCCAAAUAGGGAAUCAGCUGACCUUUCUUAGAAAAUACCAGACAGGAAGUAUUCUAGGCUUUGGGACCAUAUAGUCUCUGUCACAACCACUCAGUCCUGUCAUAUGAAAGCAGUCAUAGACACUCUGUCAUCAGACAGUUGUGGAUGGUGCCAACAAAAUAUUAAGGAGAGAAACAAGAGACAGGCUGGAUUUGGCCUGGAGCCCAUAGUUUACUAAACCCUGGAUUCGGAUUUGAUUUUAAAUUUUAGGGGGGAAAUUUGGGAAAAUGUGUGAGAUUUGAAAAAUGUGUAUAAUUAUGGCAAGAAUUUUUACUGUUUUAGUCCAGAUAUUAUUAUAUGGUUUUCAAACUUGGUCACAAUAACCUUGCAAUUCACCCACUGAUGAUACUGAGCAAGAACUUACCUCCCCUUCUGCUGCUUUGUAGACCUUCUCCAUGUGACUUGAAUUUCAGCCCAUAUUGCAUACCUGCUUCUAUAUACAUGCUCAGUCUUGAUCUGGGCACUGUGUGAAUAUAAAGAAGUCCAGACUACAUGUCUUGCCCUCAAGAAGCCUACAAAAACAUAAGCAAUCAAGGCCGACACUCCAGACUGAAGUUCACAUUCACCAUCCUAGUCAUUCUUCCCCCUGCUAGCCAGAGUGACUUUUCAAAGCUCUAAAUCAGAUUAUAGUGCUUUUUGAUUUAUAACCAGCUGAUAGCCUCCCAUCACUCUUAAGAUGCAAAUCCUUUACCAUGUGCUAUAAGGCUGAGUGUGAUCUACCCACCCACCAGUCACACCACUUCCUCCAUUCUAGCCCCACUGGUUUCCUGUAUCCAACAUGCCGGGCUUAUUGCCACCUCACAAACUUUUCCUGGUGGUUUCCUCUGCCUGGAACUUUCUACCCAUCCAGCCUCACCUGGGCUGCAAGUCUCAGCUUCAGUGUUAAUACUACAGAGACGCCUUCCCUGCCUACUCAACUAACAUAGUCACACCCACCUUCCUUCUCCUACCUGGUGGUGGAGCUGAUGGUUCAUGAUUCAAAGCCCAAGCCCCUAAUCCCACGACUAGUCUCUUGGGCAGGACUGUUCUCCAUCGUGAAAGUAUCUAGAGGUCCACCGUGAAUAACAAUGAUCCCCCUAUCACUCAGGAAAUGCCAGGGGUCUAGAAGCUAUUUCGUAGGAACUUGGGACAAACACCAAAUGUAUCAUUCAUUACACAACCAUCUCUUUUCUCUGGGUGUUUGUACUAUUAUUAUUGUCCUCACCCCCAACCAUAGAUGGGAACUCAGGCAGAGAUCUAUAUCCCUGUGCCAAGGGCUGUGCCUGCCACAUGGAGAGGCUCAAAUACAUGUUCAUUAAAUGAAUAUUAGUGGUUAAAUAACCACAAAAGAUUUAAAUAAGCAUUUCAGACUAACAAUGGAGGCAGUUCCACGAGGAACUUCAUGAUAAAUUGCAGAAAACUUGCAGAGACAAUAAUUGCUAUAGAGGUACGAGAGAGGAACUAUCACUUGAUUUAUAUGCAUAACAAUUUUUAACCUCAACGAGGUUUUAGCGCAUUUAUUCAUCUUAACUAAAUGAAAACUUUUAUUCCUUUGUACCUUGAAAAUCCCUCGAAUCCGAUGAUUAUCUUCAAAUU